rnacentral:rRNA from 1 species
ACGGAAGGCAGCAGUGGGGAAUAUUGCACAAUGGGCGCAAGCCUGAUGCAGCAACGCCGCGUGAGGGAAGACGGUUUUCGGAUUGUAAACCUCUGUUCUUGGUGACGAAGAAGUGACGGUAGCCAAGGAGAAAGCCACGGCUAACUACGUGCCAGCAGCCGCGGUAAUACGUAGGUGGCAAGCGUUAUCCGGAUUUACUGGGUGUAAAGGGAGCGCAGGCGGGGAAGCAAGUCAGAGGUGAAAUGUAUGGGCUCAACCCAUGAACUGCCGUUGAAACUGUUAUUCUUGAGUGGAGGAGAGGCAGACGGAAUUCCUAGUGUAGCGGUGAAAUGCGUAGAUAUUCGGAGGAACACCAGUGGCGAAGCCGACCUACUGGGCUGUAACUGACGCUGAGGCUCGAAAGCGUGGGGAGCAAACAGGAUUAGAUACCCUGGUA